GACGAACGCUGGCGGCGUGCUUAACACAUGCAAGUCGAACGGAAAGGCCCUGCUUUUGUGGGGUGCUCGAGUGGCGAACGGGUGAGUAACACGUGAGUAACCUGCCCUUGACUUUUGGAUAACUUCAGUAAACUGGGGCUAAUACCGGAUAGGAGCUCCUGCUGCAUGGUGGGGGUUGGAAAGUUUCGGCGGUUGGGGAUGGACUCGCGGCUUAUCAGCUUGUUGGUGGGGUAGUGGCUUACCAAGGCUUUGACGGGUAGCCGGCCUGAGAGGGUGACCGGCCACAUUGGGACUGAGAUACGGCCCAGACUCCUACGGGAGGCAGCAGUGGGGAAUAUUGCACAAUGGGCGGAAGCCUGAUGCAGCAACGCCGCGUGCGGGAUGACGGCCUUCGGGUUGUAAACCGCUUUCGCCUGUGACGAAGCGUGAGUGACGGUAAUGGGUAAAGAAGCACCGGCUAACUACGUG
rnacentral:rRNA from 1 species